GUGCCAGCAGCCGCGGUAAUACGGGGGGGGCAAGCGUUGUUCGGAAUUACUGGGCGUAAAGGGCUCGUAGGCGGCUGCCUAAGUCGGACGUGAAAUCCCACGGCUCAACCGUGGAACUGCGUCCGGUACUGGGCGGCUUGAAUCCAAGAGAGGGAUGCGGAAUUCCAGGUGUAGCGGUGAAAUGCGUAGAUAUCUGGAGGAACACCGGUGGCGAAGGCGGCAUCCUGGAUUGGUAUUGACGCUGAUGAGCGAAAGCCAGGGGAGCAAACGGGAUUAGAAACCCCCGUAGUCC
rnacentral:rRNA from 1 species